UCCCUCUUAGCUCAGUGGUAGAGCGCUUCACUAGUAUCCGAAUGCCUUGCGUGCUAAUGAAGAGGUCAGUCGUUCAAGUCGGCUAGAGGGAA